CAGCCGCCGCGGUAAUACGGAGGGUGCAAGCGUUAAUCGGAAUUACUGGGCGUAAAGCGUGCGUAGGCGGUUCGUUAAGUCUGUUGUGAAAGCCCCGGGCUCAACCUGGGAAUGGCAAUGGAUACUGGCGAGCUAGAGUGUGUCAGAGGAUGGUGGAAUUCCCGGUGUAGCGGUGAAAUGCGUAGAGAUCGGGAGGAACAUCAGUGGCGAAGGCGGCCAUCUGGGACAACACUGACGCUGAGGCACGAAAGCGUGGGGAGCAAACAGGAUUAGAUACCCGCGUAUCCCUGUCUCUUAUACC
rnacentral:rRNA from 1 species